rnacentral:rRNA from 1 species
GGACGAACGCUGGCGGCGUGCCUAACACAUGCAAGUCGAACGAGAAUCGAUGGAUUGCGGCUUCGGCCAAAUGAAGUUGAGGAAAGUGGCGAACGGGUGAGUAACGCGUGAGAAACCUGCCUUUCAGUGGGGGACAACAGUUGGAAACGACUGCUAAUACCGCAUGACGCAUUCGGGUCGCAUGGCCUGAAUGCCAAAGAUUUUAUCGCUGAAAGAUGGCCUCGCGUCUGAUUAGCUAGUUGGUGAGGUAACGGCCCACCAAGGCGACGAUCAGUAGCCGGACUGAGAGGUUGACCGGCCACAUUGGGACUGAGAUACGGCCCAGACUCCUACGGGAGGCAGCAGUGGGGAAUAUUGGGCAAUGGACGCAAGUCUGACCCAGCAACGCCGCGUGAAGGAAGAAGGCUUUCGGGUUGUAAACUUCUUUUAAGGGGGAAGAGUAGAAGACGGUACCCCUUGAAUAAGCCACGGCUAACUACGUG